rnacentral:rRNA from 14 species
CGGCCCCUAGGGCGAGGCAGAGAUGCGUAGCUGAUGGGAAGCAGGUUAAUAUUCCUGCACCGACGUGUAAUGCGAUGGGGGGACGGAUCGUGGAAAGUGGUCCAGGUGUUGGAUAUCCUGGUCCCUGCAUCAUAGAGGACAGUUAGGCAAAUCCGGCUGUCAUAUACUCAAGGGUGUGGGGGGAAGUAGCUACGGCUACGAACCCAUUGGAAGUGGUCCCAAGAAAAGCCUCUAAGCUUCAGUUACACGUUGACCGUACCGCAAACCGACACAGGUGGGCGGGAUGAGUAUUCUAAGGCGCUUGAGAGAACUCAGGAGAAGGAACUCGGCAAAUUGACACCGUAACUUCGGGAGAAGGUGUGCCCUCAGUAGGUGAACCUGUACAAGGGGAGCCCAAAGGGGUUGCAAAAAAUCGGUGGCUGCGACUGUUUAUUAAAAACACAGCACUCUGCAAA